AUCCACCAAUACACACACACACACACACACACACACACACACACACACCCUCUGAGACAACUAUUUUUCUGGUAAACAUUCUGAGAAAAUUCAGGAAAUCACAAAGUGAUGCAACAAUAGAUCAGAUCGGUGACAAUUUUUUGUGUUCACAGAUGUCGGAGCCACAUCCAGUCUGCCUGUUUAACUGAAAUGAUAACAAAGGAAACAAAAGGUUCAUCUGGCCAAGUGAGCUGUUUAUGGCUGCAGGAACUGCAUCGGCUGCAUCUACUGUUUACAGUGUGGUAGUUGUGACAGAGGACAGUUGUAGCUCUCCCGAUUGUUGUAACAUUGAAGUUGUAAAAUGCAGUUUCACAAUGCACACUGUUACAAACCUGUGUGCAUUUUGUUCUUGGGUAUGAACAAAAAGAAAAAUCCAAUUUCAUCAUCCCGCCUGAAUGCUUACCUGUAAUUCCACGCAGCCAAAGCAAAGCUAUCCGUUCUUUUAAACGUUUAGUUUAUUACAAGCAGUAACAAAGAGACAUUGGACAUGGAUGGCAGAUAGUUUGGGAACGUCUUUUGCUUGGAACCAUUCCUCUUUCCAGUAUUGAUGCACGGCAUGGCUAGUCCAGUUGGGAGCCAACUCCCAGUGUUGCUGGUGCUUACGGGCCCGGACCUGCAUCAUUAUCACAGCACUGAGCAUUGGCAGUCAGGCCACACUCGCCCCUCUCUUACCCCGGUGAUAAACUACUGACUGGACUCCGGGCGGAUAGGUUUUUCAGCAUGCCUCAGCGCCAAAAAGCACAUCAAUUAUUCAACCUCACAGUGGCCUAUUGUAAUUACUCUGCCAGCCAUCACCACCGUAAGUCAAUGAAAUAAGCAACGAGAUGCAAAAGCCGUACUCCUGCGGCAUAGCCAAGUGCAACCGGAUUAGUUUGUCCUUGUAUCCAGAAGGACACUGAGCCAGUGAGACAAAGCGAAGCGAAGUAAACAUGCACACCUCAGAAUGACAUUAUUGAAAUAUGCAACGCACGUCCGGUAUAUUUUGCUGCUGCUUUUUGUUUCUGGACGUCACUCUUUAAUGACUUGUGGGAGAUCCUGGCGCUCGUAAAGAGUGCAGGUCACGAAACACGUCGAGAGAGUCGUGGAAAGCAGGUGAUCAGAAGUCAUCAUCUGGCAGACAGAGUAAUGGAGCCGACAUGGACACGGAAAACACAGACUCACGGACAAAUUGGCAAAAACCGCACGCUGAAUCAGAGUUCAGAAUACUAAUCAAUGUCUCCCCGUUUACAUUUCACAUGACCGUCUCCUUGCCUUCACUCUCACAAAGCCCCUGUAAUCGCCGCAGAAUAUAGAUUGGUUGUUCAUCAGUCUGCGCACGAGCAACAAUCAUACGAGAUAGCGGGCAGGGAGUGAGGGGUAGGGAGGACAGUGAGAGGGGGGGGGGGAGAGAAAGUGACACACAGUACGGCACACGGGGACACGCAGCCUCACCGCCGUAGUUUUAGCCAAUGCUCACCCCUGAGGAAAGAUGGGGGGAAGACGGAAGAAAAAGAGGUGACUUACUUCUAUGGUCCUAUGAUUCUUCGUGAGCCUUAUCGAGAGACGUAAGAGCGUCCACUGACACAGAUGGAGAGACGGCGAGGGAGAAACAGUUGGCGAGGAAGAGGAGAUGAGGAGGGAGACCGGAGGGCUUGACUCGGAGUGCUGCUUUUGCUGUGUUGCACACUGUAAAAUUGUGCGUGUGUGUGUGUGUGUGUGUGUGUGUGUGUGUGUUGAGGCUCUCCAAGGGGCUCUGUGCAGAUACACUUAACCAAGUUGCUCCUGAACCUUUUGUUCACUCGUUUCGUCGCCUGCAUUUUUACCACGGGCGCACGUGCGAACUCGUGCCAUUUGAUUGCAAGUUGCCGUAUCACACAGCUUUGAGGGUUUGGCACCACUCAGAUGAAGGCAUACCCCCCCCCCCCCCUCCCUAAAUACUGAUUCAUAGGCAAAUAAUGAAAGCAUCUCUGCCCAGACCAGGCACGGAGUAGUGGUGUUUUGAAGAGAUAAGGAAAAUGGGCUCCAUUCACAGCAGUAGGAGACUGAGACAAAUUGAUCCCCUCAUUCUCUCAGUCAGUUGUUGUAAGUGAGAAUAAUGCCGAGAGCUGUCACUUGAGCGUGUGAAGAUACUCACUAAUAUCCACACAUUAUAACUACAGAUAAUUCACGUUGUUUUUUUUUUUUUUUGUCUUUUUCCGUGAAGUCAAAUGAAGCCUCCUGCCCUCUGAGACACACAUAGAAAUGUUUCGAGGAGCGGAGGCUUUUGCAGCAUGCAAUUAGCCCGAUGUGGGGGUUAUUGUUGUCGAAAGCGCGAGGAGGCCAUAGAAAUCGCGAGCACAAUGAUGGCAGGUGUGGAAUUAGCGACGUCUCCCCACCGCCGUUGUCGAGGCACUUGCAGAACAACCCUCUCUCAAGUUUGGAGCGAAUCUUUAGCAGCCCAGUGAAAGAAACUUUGGAAAACAAAGACGUCAGCUGUGACUGCAGCUUGGCACGAACAUCGAUGUAUUGAAUAUUAAGCGAGCAUGGCUUGAGUUUGCAGACUUGUUCUUCCAUGACAGAAUGUCAGAAUCACCUUUGUUUUUUUAAAGCACCUUAAAAAAAAACGCUGACCGUAAUCUGUCAUGUCAAAGCCUAAAAAUCGGCCUCUCCCUUUUCACCCGUGCUUUCGUUUUGCGCCAGGAAUAGGCAACCCCAUCUCCUGCCACAACAAUAACAACCCGCUUUCACAAAAGCAGGAUGCAUCUGAUAGCUCUGGCAAGGCUUUCUUUUUACAAACUCUCCGUCUCUGGGCUGCGGUCCACUAAAGCAUGGACACUGCCCUGUAACAAGACGGAUAUUUCCCUCUGGGGUUUUGGGAUUUAUUGCCUGUAGCAUUUAUGGAGAGGUCCCAGUUGGAGAUGACAGCAAAUGCACACAUACACACACAUACACGGAGGGGUUAGAAAUGCUAAUUUAGACACACAUAGGGGGGGUAUAAAUCCAGUCCUCAUUGUGAAUUCAGCACGUUGGCUGUAUUGUGCAGUGGUGAGCCCCUUUAUUCAAUUGAGCUGCCAUCCAUCGUGGAUGUGGCAUUGAGCAGGCACGUACCGGGAGCCCCCACAGGAGCAUUAGACUCACUCAAACACACAGGGACUGUUUGCAUACAUAUAAACAGACAGCGUAGAGAUGCAAAGACCCAUUAGGACUGUAAUGGCCUGAUGCAACUCUCUGUAGGGUCAUUAUUGUCCGCUGAGGAAUUCAAAAAGAUAUCGCCUUCAGAAGGCCGGGCGUCUCUGAGCACGGGUCGCUGUCUCUCCAAAGAUAUCGGCGCGUGAUUGUAUGCGACUAUGCACACUACUGCAUCCUCGAGUAUGCACUCGCUGCCACGCUGCCACGUAAUAAAGCCCCCGUGGGUUUUCAAAUGCAGGAGCGAAGACAAAAGGAUGUUACCGUAUGUUCACACUCUAAAGUGUUGUUAACCACUGAAGAAGGUUUCCAGAUUAAGUAAAGAGCAUCGCCAGGGACCAGCAACCUCGCCAGGAUGUUCUUCUUGUUAAAACAUCCAAGGGAAGUCUGAACUCUCAAACAGAGCACGCUUCAUUUAAUAAGUUGAAUGAAUGCUCAGUUGUGAAUUCAUUCAACUCAUAAUUUUUAUGUCAAAAGACAGGUGAACACAUAAUAUAUUUAAAACUUAAAGGAGCAAGAGUAUAAAUACAUAUUAAAUCUAAAUGUUUUAAUAAUGUUGCUUAGAAUCCCUAUUGUUAAAUUAUUAGUCAGAGUAGUACAAGUAGAAGUAUCAUAUUUAGUAACAGCAGUAAAAACAAAUCAGUUGCUUUUUACCUCCGGCAGCCACAGUUGUUUGAAAUAGUUGCGUGUGCUGCAGCCACGAGGAUCCCUACUGAGCCCGUGAGAAAAGAUGGCCCAUCAACACCGUACGAUCCCACUGAUGGAUGUUGGGAACUAUAAUUGUAAUGAUUGGUGUGAGGAGCACAGACGAGAGGUGUUUAGCCUACGAGGUGAGCCGUGGCCCCGUCGCUACGAGGUGAGCCGUGGCCCCGUCGCUACGAGGUGAGCCGUGGCCCCGUCGCUACGAGGUGAGCCGUGGCCC
ensembl:lncRNA